UGCUCAUCUCAGUUCAAGUCUAGGCAUUGC
rnacentral:piRNA from 1 species